AUAAAUGAGAGUUUGAUCCUAGCUCAGGAUGAACGCUGGCGGCGUGGAUAAGGCAUGCAAGUCGAGGGACACCUUCGGGUGGACCGGCAGACGAGGUAGUAACACGUAGGAACGUACCCUUAAGUCAGGGAUAGCCCGGAGAAAUCCGGAGUAAUACUUGAUAGUCUCUUCGGAGUAAAGAUUUAUCGCUUAAGGAGCGGCCUGCGGGAUAUCAGCUUGUUGGUAGUGUAAUGGACUACCAAGGCUAUGACGUCUAGGGGAGGUGAGAGCCUGACCCCCACCGAUGGGACUGAGAUACGGCCCAUACUCCUACGGGAGGCCGCAGUCGAGAAUCUUCCACAAUGGACGAAAGUCUGAUGGAGCGACGCCGCGUGGUGGAUGAAGUCUUUCGGGAUGUAAACACCUUUUAUGAGGGAGAAAUCCGGUUUUUCCGGUGUGAUGGUACCUCAUGAAUAAGGGGUUGCUAAACUCGUAAACCGAGUAUUAGCAAUACUUAUACCAUCCCCAACUAACCAUUUCACAUCUUGCCGCACAUUUUUGCUACAAAACUUCGUCUCGCGCUCUUUUUAUCUCGAUAAAGCUCGCGCUCCGACUUGUUUUUCGCUCGAAAUGUGUGGCAAGAUUAUUGUGAAAGCGUUAAUUGGGGAGGGUAUUAAAACAGCAUUAAAAACUCGUAUUUACCUGGUGCGACUAUGCGUAGUAAUGCGCAUAGCAAAUUCGGCUCAUAUGCUGGAAGCCCAUAGAGAGCUGCGUUCAAUUAGCAAUAAUUGAAUUCUCUAUGGAGAAUCAGCAGGGAAGUCCUCUCGUAUCUUUUGAUACUGAUGACCCCUCAGAGACUGAUCCAACGAAAGUUGGUGAGAUAAGAAACUUUUUAGUUCUUAUAAUACGCCGGACACCCCUAUAUUUCGUAUGGGGGUGGUGGGAUAGUCCAUCUUUCUUUUAAGUAAGAAGGCCAGCAGCAGCGGUAAUACGAGUGCCCCAAGCGUUAUCCGGAAUCAUUGGGCGUAAAGGAUGUGUAGGCGGUAUUAUUAGUCUUUUGUUAAAAACCCGGGCUUAACCCGGGCGGUGCGAAAGAAACGGUAAUACUAGAAGAUAGGAGAGGUGAGCGGAACUUACGGUGUAGGGGUGAAAUCCGUUAAUAUCGUAGGGAACACCAAAGGCGAAGGCAGCUCACUGGCCUAAUCUUGACGCUGAGACAUGAAAGCGUGGGUAGCGAAUGGGAUCAAUCUGGUCCCCUCCAAUAGUGAUAUUGGAGAGUAAAUUUGGCUGUAUGCUGGAAUACCCGAGUAUCUGACACUACUUUAGUGAUAUACUAAAGUGAUAAUGUGUUCAGUGCGGACAAUCAGCAGGAAACCUUUUUAAGGGAUCCUCAGAGACUAUACGCCGAAUAUCUCGCACGUGGUGAGAUAAUGAUAUAGUCCGACCUCCAUGGCGACAUGGAGAAUCAAUUGCUUGUAUUGGGGGCAAUUGAUCAAUGGCGAUAGUAAUAUCGUCUCGUAACAAAAUGUAGAUACCCCAGUAGUCCAUGCCCUAAACGAUGUUCACUCGCCUUUCGGAGUAUCGACCCUCUGAGAGGCCAAGCUAACGCGUUAAGUGAACCGCCUGGGAAUUACGAUCGCAAGAUUAAAACUCAAAGGAAUAGACGGGGGCUCGCACAAGCGGUGGAUCAUGUGGUUUAAUUCGAUGCUAAACGAAGAACCUCACCAGGGCUAGACAUUGAGACGACGUGUUUGGGAAACCAAACACUCCUUAUUAAGGCGGCUCAACAGGUGUUGCAUGGCUGUCGUCAGUUCGUGGUUUGAACAAUAUCGGACCCUUCUCGAGAGAUCGAGAUGUAAAAUCCAGCUCAUAACGAGGAAACCCUAAUGCAUUGAUGGUAUAAUUGAUGCAUGGGCAAUCUCGUGGGAAGUUUGGAAGUUCCAAUGGUACUAAAUGCGAGAAAGCGUUUAAUUCUCUCUAUGUCGCCUCGACAAAGAGAUAUUCUUAUUGGUUGUAUUUUGGGAGACGCGUAUAUUGCCCGCGAGGGGAAAAUUCGCAUUGAACAAUCUACAAAACAAAAAGAAUAUCUUGAAUGGAAAUAUAAAGAACUAAGAUCUUUAUGUUAUCAAGGUGGACCUCGAGAAAUUACACACAUUUAUCGCGAAAAAGAAUAUCAAUCUAUAUUCUUUCUUCUAAGGCAAUACUUUCGUCCAUGGCGUGAAAUAUUCUAUCGGGAUAAGGAAAAGAUCUUUCCAAAGGAUCUUAAGCUUUCUCCGAUGGUUCUCGCGGUGUGGUAUAUGGACGAUGGUUCUUGGACAGGUAAGAAAAUACUCCUUUCGACCGAAAGUUUUAAAGGAGUAUCUAUGGAUUAUAUUCAAAGCUCGUUUUUGUCUCAUUUUGAUAUUGAGACUAUUGCGAGUAGUAAUGGGAAACUAGUUAUACGAAAGCAGUCACAUAAGAAAUUUUGUGAUUUAGUUGCUCCGCAUAUAGUUCCCAGUAUGUACUAUAAACUUCCAUAACCCCGUAACGACUUCUCUGAAUUCAGAGAGAGUUGAGGUAAUAUACCUCAGCUAAAACGCUGGCUCCUCCUCUGUUUAUACAAAACAGAAAGGAUGAAGGUAUAGUCUAAUUUCUAAAGAAAUUUAGAAUAGUAAUGGAAUUGUUCCCUUAAGUGGGGUAACGAACGCAACCCUUACCGUAUGUUUUACGUGUCAUACGGGACUACCCAGCUUGCCUGGGAGGAAGUGAGGAUGACGCCAAGUCAGCAUGACCCUAGAUGCCCUGGGCUACACACAUGAUACAAUGGGUGGUACAAAGAGACGCAAUGGGGCGACCCGGAGCAAACCUCUAAAGCCAUCCUCAGUUCGGAUUGGAGGCUGCAACUCGACUCCAUGAAGCUGGAAUCGCUAGUAAUCGCAGGUCAGCUAUACUGCGGUGAAUACGUUCCCGAGCCUUGUACUCACCGCCCGUCAAACCAGGGAAGCCGGGAGUACCCGAAGUCUCUACGUUUGCGUAGGGCCUAAGGUAAAUUCGGUAACAAGGGUUAAGUCGUAACAAGGCAUGGCUAGCGGAAGCUGGUCAUGGAACAAUUCACUU
rnacentral:rRNA from 1 species